rnacentral:rRNA from 1 species
CAGCAAUGCCGCGUGAGUGAAGAAGGCCUUCGGGUUGUAAAGCUCUUUCAGUUGAGAAGAAAAGAUUGUGACUAAUAAUUGCAAUUCAUGACGGUAUCAACAGAAGAAGCACCGGCUAACUACGUGCCAGCAGCCGCGGUAAUACGUAGGGUGCGAGCGUUAAUCGUAAUUACUGGGCGUAAAGGGUGCGCAGGCGGUUCUGUAAGUCAGAUGUGAAAUCCCCCGGGCUUAACCUGGGAACUGCGUUUGAAACUACAGAGCUAGAGUGUGGCAGAGGGGGUGGAAUUCCAUGUGUAGCAGUGAAAUGCGUAGAGAUAUGGAAGAACAUCGAUGGCGAAGGCAGCCCCCUGGGUCAACACUGACGCUCAUGCACGAAAGCGUGGGGGAGCAAACAGGAUUAGAUACCCUGGUAGUCCACGCCCUAAACUAUGUCAACUAGUUGUCGGGCCUUAUUAGGUUUGGUAACGUAGCUAACGCGUGAAGUUGACCGCCU